GCAUGGACAGGCCCUCCCUCUCUCAGUGGAUAAAAAAGGGAGAGAUUAGGGGAGGUCUGCUCAGCUGUGGGCACAGAAGACAGGACUGGUGAUGGUCUCCACCAUGUCCUGGUCUCCUGUCCUUCUUGCCCUCUUCACUCACUGCACAGGGUCCUGGGCCCAGUCUGUACUGACUCAGCCAUCCUCGGUGUCAGGCUCCUUGGGCCAGAGGGUCACCAUCUCCUGCACUGGAAGCAGCUCCCACAUCAGUAACAAUUUUGUGAACUGGUACCAACAACUCCCAGGCACAACCCCCAAAACCAUAAUCCUUUGGGAUGAUAGCAGACCCUCGGGGGUCUCUGAACGAUUCUCUGGCUCCAAGUCUGGCAGCACAGGCACCCUGACCAUCACUGGGCUCCAGGCUGAGGACGAGGCUGAUUAUUACUGCUCAGCAUGGGAUGAUAGUCUGAGAGCUCACACAGAGCUCCAGGCCCGUGGGGAAGUGAGACAAAAACCUGCUGUCCCCACACUGAUGCGCUUUCCUUGUGCAGCCCCCACCUUCUGCCAGCUGCUUCCCUAA